rnacentral:rRNA from 1 species
AUUGAACGCUAGCGGGAUGCUUUACACAUGCAAGUCGAACGAGUGGCGGACGGGUGAGUAAUAUAUCGGAACGUGCCCAGUAGCGGGGGAUAACUACUCGAAAGAGUGGCUACUACCGCAUACUAUUGGAGCUGCCGAUAUCGGAUUCGCUAGUUGGUGGGUUAAAGGCUCACCAAGGCCACGAUCCCUAGCUGGUUUGAGAGGUCGACCGUCCACACUGGGACUGAGACACGGCCCAGACGCCUACGGGAGGCAGCAGUGGGGAAUUUUUGACAAUGGGGGAAACCCUGAUCCAGCCAUCCCGCGUGAAUGAGAAGGCCUUCGGGUUGUAAAGUACUUUUGGCAGAGAAGCGGUAUCUGAAGAAUAAGCACCGGCUAACUACGGGCCAGGAGCCGCGGUAAUAC